ACUCAAAAAAGAAGAAGAAGAAGAAGAAGGAGCUCCAAAAGAGAAAUCAUUCAGUUUAAGACUCAACCCCCUCCCCCCGGGUCGUUUCAUUAAAAGCUUAAAAUCGUGGAAGUGCUGUGCGUUACGACGAAGGUUAUAUGAAAAUUUCUGUAAAUCUAUGAUGUGGAAAGUAUGUAUGUGGUUGGAGCGGGGGGGGGAAGGGAAGGAGGUUGGUUGCUAAUCUUUUGUAAAGGCGGUUGACCAUAAGCAAGACAGCCUAUAAAUUGGCUUUCCUUCUUUACUUAAUUUUCAUCACAAAUAAUGUGCCACUCUGAUUGCAUGAAAUCAUCAGGAGUGUCUUCAAUUACUGUGUGCAGCCUCUGAUCAAAAUGACUUCCUUUAUUCUGAGUCAGGGGAGGGGGUAGAGGGGGAAAGAAUGAUGUGGUGCGAGGGGGGAGGGAAGGGGGGGCAAGGGAGAAUGCGCAGCUAGUUAUGUAUUACAAAUGUCAGGUUGCUGAGGAAGUGUAUAUAUUCAUAUUUAAUAAUUUCUAAGCUGGAGUUGUGAUUGUAAUAAUGGCUCAUUCAUAUCUGCAUUUCAUUUAAAUGCACUGUUUUGACUCGCUGAACAUUUGUCAAAGAUAUUAUAGCUAAACUUUUUCACAUGACCACUGAGGUAAUGACAAGCAUUACAUUACCAGUAAAACUGCACGACUUGCUGAUACUUCCAUUUUCCUUAGCAGCUUAUGAAAUAAUCAAAAUGUGUGCAUGAAAUGGCGGCCUGCUCUGAAUUUAUUUUAAUACAGCCGGGCUUAUAGGGAGAAAUGAAGAAGAGCAUAGGACCUCAGACACGAGAGACAAUGACUUCACACAAAGCUGAAUUUUACUAGCAGGAAAGAUGGAUAUAUGGGUAUUAGACUUUUCAUAGCUAUAGGAAGGAUAAUCUUUCAAUCAGAUUAAUGAGAAAAUAUAUUGCAUGGGCCCUACAGCACUUUUUGCUUUCCAGGCUAAUACGUGAUUUAAAUCCCCAAAGUACAUUUUCGGCAUUACAAUAUCCUUUGAUAAUAAUGUUGCUUGCACAAAGACAGAUAAAAAUAAAACAGUCCCCCCUGAUUUCCCAUUUUAGAUUUGAAGUAUAUUUUCGGUCCUUGUCUCACAACCAAGUAAAUUCUAUUGAGAAGAGUCACAUUUAAUAAGACAAAGAGAAUUUUCUAAUUAUGCUACCUGUCAAGAUUGGAAUCUAUGGGAUUGCAACUGCAAUUGAAGAAACAGAUGAGGCAAUUGCAUAUAGUCCAGUUUACUUUGGUGUAUGAUUACUAUUUGCACUUAGAUAUUGCUUAAUGUAAAUCAAGCAAACACACAGACGUGUGCUUUGAGGUAAACAUCGAGAGGCAGGUUUCAAAAUGGAUUCUACAAACCCACAUUUCAAUUUUUUAGUAACCAAUUUUCCUAGGUUCCCUGUUACCUAUAGAAAAACAACAACUGUGGAAACAUGUGAAAACGAAGGGGGAAAAAACCUCUGAAAUGAUGUGGCCAACUACCUUAGUAUAUGGUGCAAAUACGAAGUCAUAUAAUUAAGACUAGGAAUACUAAUAAAGGUAUAUGCAUAUGAUUAUAUGGAAUAAAAGAUUUGUCUGUCUCUUUGGAAGAAAACAAUACGUAUAAUUACAACACAAAACCCACUAAAAAUAGUGCAGUAAUGCAGUGGGAAUAUUUGUAUGUAUUAUGCUUGUUAUUAUUCAAAUGCUUAUGGAUCUAUAAGUGUGUCCCUGAAAGUUAUAACAUGGGGAUUUCUGAGGAUCUGUUCACUGUUUAGGGCUCUUCAGACAUUACUCUUAGCCAAAGCAUGGCAGAUCUGAGAGAGUGGGAAAGCCCUCAUGUUGCUAUUUUUAUACUAGAGGUUCGUACAAAUCCACAGUCUAUCACUAACAAUUGCAUAUAUGCAUACAAAACAUUGCCAGCCAUAUUAAUCUAUUGAGGAAGGAUUCCAAAAGCUACAGUAGAACAAUACUUUUAUUAGGGCCAACUAAUACGUCACAAAAUAGUAUGUCAAAUUCUUCAAAAAAUUUCAUAGGGUUGAGGAACUGACACUCCAGAUGUUGUUGAAUUCCACCUCCCAUCCACCUUGGCCUAUAAAGCCAAUGGUGACGCAUGAUGGGUGCUGUAGUCCUGCAACAUCUGGAGGGUCGUAGGUUCCCCAACCCUGAUAUAGUAGGGUGUUAAAUCAAACAGAGAAUAAAUAAAAUCCCAUCAGAAGACAUAAAAACAUUCCGGAUCUUGCAGCCCUCCACAGGUGCACAGUUUAUUAAUGUGUUGUUGUUUUUUUCCUGCAAGAGCCAAAAUCUGCAAGUUCCUACACCACAAAUACAAAUGUAGAUUUUUCAAGAAUUUCAAUUGGUGGGCUAUUGAAAUCCUAGCUGCAGCUAACAUCCAUGUCAGAAGUUCUUUAAGGUGACAAGCUUUCAUGUUAUCAGCCCACAUCUUCAGUAUUUGACAGCUGUGAGGAGACCUGAACAGGUGAUUUAAUUAUUUUAGCUAUUUCUUUAUAUACAGAAUAAACGAAAUAAAAAAAAUAAAUUGUGAUUAUGAUUACUUCCAUUUGGAGCAUAUGCAUGUCUUCAUUGUGAAAUAAUUCAAAGCUACAUAUUAUUUACCAAUAAGAAGAAACCUAUUUCUUGCAAUCAUAAUUACCCUCAGCUGAACCAUAAGGAGUCCCAUAAGGAGAAAAGGUAGGGUAUAAAUAAAUAUACAACAAUGACAACAACAACAUCUUCACAUUAUAGAUUUGUUAUGAUUCAAAGUUUGGGACAAGCCCAACAACCACUGCGAGGGCAGCAGUAUACAAGUAGGAACAUUAGAUGAGCCUAUUGGAUCAGGCCAAUAGCCCAUCUAAUCCACCAUCCUGUUGUCACAGUGGCCAAUCAUAUGCCCGAACAGGCCCUGAGAACCUGAGCACUCUCCCGUCCUGUGGUUUCCAGCAACUGGUAUUCAGAACCAUUACUGCCACCAGUAGUGAAGGCAGAGAACACCCAUCACAGCUAGUAGCAAUUGAUAGCCUUCUCCUCCUUAAAUCAUAGAGGAGGUUGUUGUUGCUCUGCUUAUAGCUUUCCCUAUCUCAAGGACUCUAGGCAGGCCAAAGCUUUAACAUUUCUGUUUCAAAGCUUCAUGGUUCAAAGGAUCAUGAGGAAGAUGAAGCAAAGCAGAUAAAGGAAAAUAGAUCAUUAUGAUGUCAAUAGAAACUGGAGCCCACUUGUGGCUGCAGCUAGGUUUCAUUAUGCGGCCAAAAUUAACAUGCCGGGCCUUGCAUACCCUAGGCAGAUUUCCCUGGAUUCAGUGAGAAUUAUUUUAAAACACUCAUGCUAUCCCUUCUCUUGUUUAAGAGUGUGAAGCCUGUGAAUGUGUAUUUCUGGAUAUUGACAACUUCUCAAUUCACUUAGGACAUAUGACAAGUCUGCUAACCUUUAAAGGAACAUCUUGACAGUUACAUGUCACCAUGUUACCAGGAAGCACUAAGGCAGAAUGGCCAAUGGCACUAAUGUUUGUAUUUGAACAGCUGUUUUGGUGACUGAAUUUCAGCUGUUGAUGUAGUAAUCCCUAUGUAUAGUUUAUUAUUUUAUAGAUACAGGCACACUCCUGGCUGCUCCCCACACCCCACUUAUCAGUUUGCUAGGUUUAUAUAGCAUUUUGGGAAUCAUUAGGAUGAAAGGCACUAUAAACGUAAGAUAUUAUU